UGCCAGCAGCCGCGGUAAUACGGAGGGUGCAAGCGUUGUCCGGAAUCACUGGGUGUAAAGGGUGUGUAGGCGGAGCUGUAAGUCAGAGGUGAAAUCCUGCAGCUUAACUGUAGAACUGCCUUUGAUACUGCAGCCCUUGAAUAUCGGAGAGGUUACUAGAAUUCGUGGUGUAGCGGUGAAAUGCGUAGAUAUCACGAGGAAUACCAGAGGCGUAGGCGGGUAACUGGACGAUUAUUGACGCUGAGGCACGAAAGCGUGGGGAGCAAACAGGAUUAGAUA
rnacentral:rRNA from 1 species